rnacentral:rRNA from 1 species
UACGAAGGGGGCUAGCGUUGUUCGGAAUUACUGGGCGUAAAGGGCGCGUAGGCGGCUGUGCAAGUCAGGUGUGAAAGCCCUGGGCUCAACCCAGGAUGUGCACCUGAUACUGCCGAGCUUGAGUCCGGUAGGGGAGUGCGGAAUUCCCGGUGUAGCGGUGAAAUGCGCAGAUAUCAGGAGGAACACCAAUAGCGAAGGCAGCUCGCUGGGACGUUACUGACACUGAGGCGCGAAAGCGUGGGGAGCGAACAGG